GGGUGCAUGGCUCAGUGGUUAGAGCGUUUGGUUCACAAUCAUAAGGUAGUGAGUUCAAUUCCUGAACCGG
rnacentral:tRNA from 1 species